rnacentral:misc_RNA from 1 species
GAAGAAGAUGACUUGGAAAAGGGCUGGGCCUCUGUUCAGACCAUUCCAAGGGCUGUAUUAUUUGACAAUAAGACUGGAACCAAUUUGCUUCAAUGGCCAGUGGAGGAGAUUGAGAGCUUGAGAUUGAACAGUACUGACUUUGAAGAGGUUUUGGUUGAACCUGGUUCAGUAGUCCCGCUGGACAUAGGCAUGGCCACGCAGCUAGACAUUUUUGUGGAGUUUGAAACAGAAUUGAUAUCAGAUUCGGUGGUUGAAGAAUACGGUUGCAG